CACGUAGGGGACGAGCGUUGUCCGGAAUCAUUGGGCGUAAAGCGCGCGUAGGCGGCCCGGUAAGUCCGUUGUGAAAGUCAAAGGCUCAACCUUUGAACGCCGAUGGAUACUGCCGGGCUAGAGUCCGGAAGAGGCGAGUGGAAUUCCUGGUGUAGCGGUGGAAUGCGCAGAUAUCAGGAGGAACACCAGUGCGAAGGCAGCUCGUGGGACGACUUGA
rnacentral:rRNA from 1 species